UACGUAGGGGGCAAGCGUUGUCCGGAAUCAUUGGGCGUAAAGAGCGUGUAGGCGGCCCGGUAAGUCCGCUGUGAAAGUCCAGGGCUCAACCUCGAGACGUCGGCGGAAACCAUCUGGCUAGAGUCCGGAAGAGGAGAGUGGAAUUCCUGGUGUAGCGGUGAAAUGCGCAGAUAUCAGGAAGAACACCUAUGGCGAAGGCAGCACUCUGGGACGGUACUGACGCUGAGACGCGAAAGCGUGGGGAGCGAACAGG
rnacentral:rRNA from 1 species